UGAUUUAUGAAUUUUAGGGAAUGAAUAAUUCAUCUCUUUACUAUUCAUCUCAGGGAGGUUUAUGAAUUUUACAAAUUUUAGGGAAGGCCAGUGAAAUUGUUAGAAAUCUCAACGGAGGUUAUUGAAGAUCCAGUCGUGAUUCUGCUGUACUGUCUCUUUUGAAAUCGUCCAAAUCAAUGCUUUUACUUGAAAGCUGUCGUACGAGGUUUAUUAGCACUACCUGAGGGAACUUCAACAGGACCUCUACUGGUCUCUUCUGAUGUCAGCACUUACUGUUAGGAUUUCAUAUGACGUCUCAUUUGCCAUGCUGCCUCUCAUGCUUCAGUGAACCCCUGGAUCAAAUGGGCUAGUGUGUCCCAGCGGCUUCUCUGUUUGGUUCUCCUUGGGCUUCCUGGCACUGGAUAUUUGCUCACACAAAGCCAAGUGGACCUGUAGAGUACAUGAUCUGUCUACCUGCUCAUGGAGCUGUCAUUGGAGCUUGGUUUGGCGCUUAACCAAUGCCACUUGGCUGGGAAAGACCAUGGCAGAGCGAAACUUGAAACAGUUAUUCGUUUCUGGAUACAUAUUGAAGUUUGUAACAUUUGAAACUGUAGCCGAAUGAAGUUGGCAAAAGGUGGCAGGUUUCAAUUCUCUUUUUUCUUUCUUACUGUGUACAUGAACAGUUGGUUUCGUCAAGAACUUAGUAGUAAGAGUGGCUCAGAAAUAACUGACAACUUCAAGAGUUACCUGAGGUCUACCAUCACAUGGCCAAAAAAUCUUUGAAAUGAUGUUCUCUUGUUACAUUCUCUAAAUUGACACAAAGUAUGGAACUUGAUAUGUUAAUGCAGCAGUAUGAUAUAGUCAGGGUUCUGAGUUAACAAUUCAACAAUUGAUGCUUAGCUUUCAUGCUUAGAUUGUUGUGUUGGCUCUGAUAUAUUUGUUCACUUUGCCUUUUCAUGUAAAGAUGCCAUAUUAACAUUGUCCUAGUACAAAUAUUACACCUUGCAUGUGAAAUUGUGCCUUGAAAAGCACCAGAGAGAUGAUGAGGGUUUACAUAGUAGUCCUGAUGUGGUUCUGAUAAUUCCGCGAUGUAGUGAUGUGUUGAUCUACUGUUCCAAGUAUAAUCUCCUAGGACAGGUUAGUUGCAAUGGUUUUGGUAAAUGUAGUUGACCAUGUAUGUUUGAGCUCGGCAAUUAGAUUCUGAAUGUUGGAUGUCGUUCAGCCUUGGUUUGCAGCUUGUUGUUCAGUUUGUUAUGCUUUGUACCCUGACACUGAGAUGAUUUGAAGUUGUUUGUAAGACUGGCCAAUUUUUGUGAGCUA